CCUACGAUUGAUAUUUGCCUCUUGCUGAAAUAAUUGUUCGAAAGGAGUAAUUGGGGCUCGUUCCGCCCAUUCCUGUGACGAAUUCAUGGACUUCAAGCAUUCAGUAUUCUCAAAUUCAGACCACUCUGUUGUCAUUUCAAUAGCCUCUUCUACUGUCAAAUCAAAGUUAUACCACUUUUGCUAUUAUUCAUCUCAAGAGCAAGCUAACUUGAGAGUCUUUGUGCCCUACUGGUGAGCCUACUUACUGAUAGUCCAGGUGCCAAUGCCGCCAAUGCCCUCGUCUCCCCAAGGAAUGAUUUGCGCCGUGAUGUGUUUCUUCAGUGUGAUCUUCUUUCCCUUACGCUCAAUCAUGGAGGCAGCUUCCGCUUCGGGCAUUAAUCUGAUGGGUUUUCAUGGGGGUUAACAGGAGAAACAAAUGCAUACAGUUUGUGCCACUGGAUCGGUACUCGUAUCGACGGUAUUCAGGGCUCCACCACAAUAACCGGAAUGGACGCCCGAUGGAAACGAUAACGUACUCACAGGCUGGCAAUCAGUCUAUUCAACAAAAAUAGAUGGACGUCAUCAGA